CCCGAUAGCUCGGGACGAAAUGUGGUCGGCCGGGCGCAACGCGCCCCUGCCGACUGAAUCGCAAG
rfam:Halophilic archaeon DL31, complete genome.